UAACGCGUGGGUAACCUGCCUCAUACAGGGGGAUAACAGUUAGAAAUGACUGCUAAUACCGCAUAAGCGCACGGGGAUGCAUAUUCUUGUGUGAAAAACUCCGGUGGUAUGAGAUGGACCCGCGUCUGAUUAGCUAGUUGGUGAGGUAACGGCUCACCAAGGCGACGAUCAGUAGCCGACCUGAGAGGGUGACCGGCCACAUUGGGACUGAGACACGGCCCAAACUCCUACGGGAGGCAGCAGUGGGGAAUAUUGCACAAUGGGGGAAACCCUGAUGCAGCAACGCCGCGUGAGUGAAGAAGUAUUUCGGUAUGUAAAGCUCUAUCAGCAGGGAAGAAAAUGACGGUACCUGAGUAAGAAGCCCCGGCUAACUACGUGCCAGCAGCCGCGGUAAUACGUAGGGGGCAAGCGUUAUCCGGAUUUACUGGGUGUAAAGGGAGCGUAGACGGCGAUGCAAGUCUGAAGUGAAAGCCCGGGGCUCAACCCCGGGACUGCUUUGGAAACUGUAUGGCUGGAGUGCUGGAGAGGCAAGCGGAAUUCCUAGUGUAGCGGUGAAAUGCGUAGAUAUUAGGAAGAACACCAGUGGCGAAGGCGGCUUGCUGGACAGUAACUGACGUUGAGGCUCGAAAGCGUGGGGAGCAAACAGGAUUAGAUACCCUGGUAGU
rnacentral:rRNA from 1 species